AAAAAAGCUCUUCCUCACCUCAAUACUCAAUAGUGUCUUUUCUUCUGUCGCUAACGCCACUAUGUAUUUUUUGACAGCUACAUUUAUGUUUCUUUAACAAUACCAUUAAGCAGUACAUGUGUUGAGUUGUAGGUAACACCAAAGACACGUGUAGUAGGCUAGUAGCAAACUCUCCAUUUGUUGCUUUACACUGCGAAAUUAG